rnacentral:rRNA from 1 species
AGGAUCAUUAAUAGAACAAACAUGUUUCCCAGCAUGAUGUUUCAAACCCCACCUGUGUACCUUACCUUUGCUUCCGUGCUGCACACGCUGCAAAGCUGCCUCCCGGUCCGGCGUCGCGAGUACUCCGGACCGUGGGGGAGUCGGUACGUGAGGUUUACCGUAAACUCUAGCCUCCGAAUGCCUUCCGUCUGAACUGUAGCGCAAAAAAAAAUGUUAAAAACUUUCAACAACGGAUCUCUUGGUUCUCGCAUCGAUGAAGAACGCAGCGAAAUGCGAUAAGUAGUGUGAAUCGCAGAAUUCCGUGAAUCAUCGAAUCUUUGAACGCAUAUUGCGCCUUCUGGUAUUCCGGGAGGCAUGCCUGUUCGAGCGUCACUAAAAAAUCAACUCGUGCGAGCCUGGCUUGCAUGGUCAUGGAGGAAGAGGUUCCGCCUUGUUUUGCGAUAUCAUCUCCCCUCCCAAAUUCAAGGGCGCAAAGUCACUGGCUCUCGGCGUAGUACUAUCGUUCGUCGAUCAUCCAGUAUUGUUGCUGCCGUCAAACCCCCACAAUUCUCUUGAUUGACCUCGGAUCAGGUAGGGAUACCCGCUGAACUUAAGCAUAUCAAUAAGGCGGAGGAA